ACUGAAGGAAUCAGCGCGUCCUACACCUGGGCCGAGAGGCUCGGGUAACCCACUGAACCUCCUUCGUGAUAGGGAUCGGGGCUUGCAAUUUUUCCCCGUGAAC
rnacentral:ncRNA from 1 species